UACGGAGGGGGCAAGCGUUGUUCGGAAUCAUUGGGCGUAAAGAGUAUGUAGGCGGCUAUUUAAGUCAGACGUGUAAGCCCACGGCUCAACCGUGGAAUUGCGUUUGAAACUAUUUAGCUUGAGUUCGGGAGAGGAAAGCGGAAUUCCCAGUGUAGCGGUGAAAUGCAUUGAUAUUGGGAAGAACACCAGUGGCGAAGGCGGCUUUCUGGUCCGAUACUGACGCUGAGAUACGAAAGCCAGGGGAGCGAACGGGAUUAGAUACCCGCGUAGUCC
rnacentral:rRNA from 1 species